AAGUCAUGCUGUUCCUGAGCACGCGCCUCAGUAGUAUUAAUUUGAUUUUCCAGCUUCACAACUUGUCUGUUAUGAAAUUUUGAGUCGCUGAAGUAAUUAUUUUGUGGCCUCUCCAAUAUUCGUCA
rnacentral:lncRNA from 1 species